AAAGUGUAGUAUCUGUUCUUAUCAGCUUAAUAUCUGAUACGUGGCUCAUUGAGUCUCUACGAUAUUAAACNGAUUUUUGGACUUAGGCGAGAUGCCCGGGGCUUGCUCCGCUCUCGCCACGGGUCGGC
rnacentral:snRNA from 1 species